UACGGAGGGUGCAAGCGUUAUCCGGAUUCACUGGGUUUAAAGAGCGUGUAGGCGGCCAGGUAGGUCAGCUGUGAAAACUCGAGGCUCAACCUCGAGAUGUCGGCUGAAACCAUCUGGCUAGAGUCCGGAAGAGGAGAAUGGAAUUCCCGGUGUAGCGGUGAAAUGCGCAGAUAUCGGGAAGAACACCCGUGGCGAAGGCGGUUCUCUGGGACGGUACUGACGCUGAGACGCGAAAGCGUGGGGAGCGAACAGG
rnacentral:rRNA from 1 species